CCGACCGGGUGAGUAACACGUAUCCAACCUGCCGUCUACUCUUGGACAGCCUUCUGAAAGGAAGAUUAAUACAAGAUGGCAUCAUGAGUCCGCAUGUUCACAUGAUUAAAGGUAUUCCGGUAGACGAUGGGGAUGCGUUCCAUUAGAUAGUAGGCGGGGUAACGGCCCACCUAGUCUUCGAUGGAUAGGGGUUCUGAGAGGAAGGUCCCCCACAUUGGAACUGAGACACGGUCCAA
rnacentral:rRNA from 1 species